AUACGUAGGGUGCGAGCGUUGUCCGGAAUUACUGGGCGUAAAGAGCUCGUAGGUGGUUUGUCGCGUCGUCUGUGAAAUUCCGGGGCUUAACUCCGGGCGUGCAGGCGAUACGGGCAUAACUUGAGUACUGUAGGGGAGACUGGAAUUCCUGGUGUAGCGGUGAAAUGCGCAGAUAUCAGGAGGAACACCGGUGGCGAAGGGGGGUCUCUGGGCAGUAACUGACGCUGAGGAGCGAAAGCAUGGGUAGCGAACAGGAUUAGAUACCCUGGUAGUCCAUGCCGUAAACGGUGGGCGCUAGGUGUAGGGGUCUUCCACGACUUCUGUGCUGUAGCUAACGCAUUAAGCGCCCCGCCUGGUGAGUACGGCCGCAAGGCUAAAACUCAAAGGAAUUGACGGGG
rnacentral:rRNA from 1 species